CAAUAGCGUAUAUUAAAGUUGUUGCAGUUAAAAAGCUCGUAGUUGAAUUUUUGCUUGCCGCCGAUGUCGGAACUUCCGUACGUUCGGCGGCGUGCAUCCUUGGGUGGAACCUGUGUGGCAUUAGGUUGUCGUGCAGGGGAUGCUCAUCGUUUACUGUGAAAAAAUUAGAGUGUUCAAAGCAGGCUUACGCCGUUGAAUAUAUUAGCAUGGAAUAAUAAGAUAGGACCUUGGUACUAUUUUGUUGGUUUGCGCACCGAGGUAAUGAUUAACAGGGACAGUUGGGGGUAUUCGUAUUCCAUUGUCAGAGGUGAAAUUCUUGGAUUUCUGGAAGACGAACUACUGCGAAAGCAUUUACCAAGGAUGUUUUCAUUGA
rnacentral:rRNA from 1 species